rnacentral:rRNA from 1 species
GGAUCAAUGGGUUGGUCAUGCCCUCGGUAUGUACUGAUUUCAUUGGUUCUCACCUUCUAAGGAACCAUGAUGUCAUUUAUUUGAUGUUGUGGGAAAUUAGGACUGUUACCUUGAAAAAAUUAGAGUGUUUAAAGCAGGCUAACGCUUGAAUACAUUAGCAUGGAAUAAUGAAAUAGGACAUCCGAUUCUAUUUUGUUGGUUUCUAGGAUCGAUGUAAUGAUUAAUAGGGAUAGUUGGG